CAUUUCUUCUAAGCAAACCGGAAACCAGGUUGCUAGGCAACGUUGGAGUUCGCAACUCCGACUCUGGUUACAGCAACAAAAGUUUACGGGCCGGUUUAUGGUUCCGUUUACCCUUUCAGAAAUGUCGAAACGGGAUCCGGGUCCUUCUUCUCCAAAACUAGGGGACGAGUCCAGGCAGCGGCAGGUGGGCUAAGCUUUGAGCUCGUUUACACGGACUGUUAUUACUCCACAGCCUCCAAACGAUAGCCUGGAUUUCAAACUGAGUACGAUCUACAACCACCAUACGGCCUUAUUCUGGAGCAAGAAUCAAAUGUUGUGCCAGAGAGAAACCAUGGGUCCUAGCAAACGG